rnacentral:sRNA from 1 species
UUGCUACUUUAUAAUGAAAAUUUAAAAAUUAUAUGGGAAGAUUUUUCUCUGGGAUAACAAAUCCUUGUCAUAAAGUAAGAGGUCUUUUUAAAGUAGGUAGGCUAUAAGGCCUGUAAUUUAAAAUAAUACUCCUUUCUCUAGGGGUUCGUGCAAUUCUCCAUUAAUGAAGAUAACAUUUGAAUUCCCCAAAGCAGAACAUCCUAUAUUUAUGAGAACAUUCUUUAAGAAGACCACCACAUAGAAUACCCCUUCCUAUCAGCUCUCUCUGAUUUAGCCUUAAUUUUGUUAAAUUUUUUAGAGAUGAAUGAAGUGCUGCUGUGGAAAGAAAUGUACAUAGACUAUUUCUGUAUCAUUAAAAUUACAUUUUUAU